GUUGACAACGGGUAUUCUUAGGUUAAUAAUACCAAACUGAGUUGUUAUUGCUUGAGAAUACACGUAAUCGAC
rfam:Octopus bimaculoides Scaffold39714_contig_89, whole genome shotgun sequence.